GCCUGAUGCAGCAACGCCGCGUGAGGGACGACGGCCUUCGGGUUGUAAACCUCUUUUAGCAGGGAAGAAGCGAAAGUGACGGUACCUGCAGAAAAAGCACCGGCUAACUACGUGCCAGCAGCCGCGGUAAUACGUAGGGUGCAAGCGUUAUCCGGAAUUAUUGGGCGUAAAGAGCUCGUAGGCGGUUUGUCGCGUCUGCUGUGAAAACCCGAGGCUCAACCUCGGGCCUGCAGUGGGUACGGGCAGACUAGAGUGCGGUAGGGGAGAUUGGAAUUCCUGGUGUAGCGGUGGAAUGCGCAGAUAUCAGGAGGAACACCGAUGGCGAAGGCAGAUCUCUGGGCCGUAACUGACGCUGAGGAGCGAAAGGGUGGGGAGCAAACAGGCUUAGAUACCCUGGUAGUCCACCCCGUAAACGUUGGGAACUAGUUGUGGGGUCCAUUCCACGGAUUCCGUGACGCAGCUAACGCAUUAAGUUCCCCGCCUGGGGAGUACGGCCGCAAGGCUAAAACUCAAAGGAAUUGACGGGGACCCGCACAAGCGGCGGAGCAUGCGGAUUAAUUCGAUGCAACGCGAAGAACCUUACCAAGGCUUGACAUAUACGAGAACGCUGCAGAAAUGUGGAACUCUUUGGACACUC
rnacentral:rRNA from 1 species